AGAGGAAAGGCUUGUGAUGACCUCACGCACAGCGGCGGCAACCAGGUUUCUGAGUGGUGGUUCGGGUAGCCAGCCUGACUAGCUUGUCGAAAGGCAAAGCCUGCGACCGGCUCACGAUUUCAUUGGCUGAGCUGGUUGCUUAGGCAACUGGCCCUCUGAUUGGCAUAUCAAGAGGCAGGGCCUCUGACCGCGUCAAGCAUGGAUUGGCUGGAUCUGGACUGGUUGCGGAGGAAACUAGGUAGAUGAGGGGGCGUGGCUUGCUUGAAAUUCUAGACUCGGGCCGCCCGAAAAAGCAUCGCCCGCAGUGACCUGGCCGGGAUUGGCGGCGGGGGCCAGGGGCGGACUCACCUGGCCAAGCCUGUAGCAGGUAGUGCAGCACUUCGAUGUGGCGCUUGAAGUCCACUGCGUUGUUGUUCCUGCACCUGAGCUUUACCUGCACCUCACCUGCACCUGGCAUCUUCCAGGGUGAGGAGAGGGAAGAUGGUGUGAAGAGACGGGGAGAAGACGACCAUCUGCAAGCCAAGGACAAAGGCCUCCGAAGGAACCAACCCUGCUGACACUUUGAUCUCAGACUUCCAGCCUCCAGAAUUGUGAGGAAACUAAUUACUGCUGUCUAAGCCACCCAGUCUGUGGGGUUUUGUUGUGGCUGCCAUAGGAAACUAAUACAGUGGCCAACCCCCAAUGGGAACCCUGGGCACUAAGGCUCAAGUGAACUUCCCUGGUUGGCAGUACACCAUGUAUGUUGUCACACAUCAUUGCUGGGGAAUUACUCUCUGUCCACACUACUCCACAGGGAGGGGGUGCUGGAAGCUUCUCCUGCUAUCUCCCAGACCCCUCCCCAUGUGCCUUUUACCUUUGUUAAUUGUAAUCUGUAUCUUUUCUCUGUAAUAAACCAU